UUCAACUUACAAGUUAAUUUUUGCAACACACC
rnacentral:piRNA from 1 species